UAACGAACAUGCGAUAUAUCAGUGUGAAAUAAGUUUUAUAUAAAAUGUAUUGUUCUGUAUUCUCUAAAGAUUGUACGAGUAUUUUAUACAAGUGAAAGUUUACUGUUUAGUUCUAACUAGGGGUAAAUAUGUAAUUUAUAAUAAUUUGAGCAACAAUUAAGCAAAUGCAACAUUGAACAGAUUUCCAUGAGAUAAAGCAUCGUGAUUACCAUUAUAAGUAGUGGGUCAAACUAAUAAGUCUCCAGAGACUAAUAGGAAGGAUAGAAACUGAGCAAUAGCAGUUUUAUGUGUUCUGCUCAUUUCCCUAAAAACAGUUUUGCAAUCUACCACAAUAAUAUGAAACGUGAUUCUUUUCAGAUAAUAAUGAACAUGUUUCUGCGUCAUCUUCAACAAUAGAAAAAAUUCCCUAACCUGAAUAUUUUGCUAUAAAAUGCAAUGACUCCCCUAUAAAUAUCAAGGAAAUACUUGAUAAGUAUUGGUUCCCAUAUAAUAUACCAAAGAGUACACAUCCAAGGAAGAAGUAACAAUCCAAAACUACGUAUGAGAUAAUUUUCCAUGCCCAUAACAAUAAGAACACUCCACAACAUACAAAAAAGAGUUUAACCAAUCUCAAAAGAAAACUACUCUCAACAACAAAAGAAAAUAAGACAUUAAAACAAUGAGUUGGAUACUUGAAAGCAAGUAGAGUUUUUAAAGGAUAUAGUGAAAGACCUAAAACAAGAAAAACUUUUACCCGAUUCUGCAUGCUAUUAUCUUUCCAUGCAUGAAUAUGCUUCAUUACAAUUGUUCAACUGCAUGUAGAGAAACAGAAACAAUAGUAACUACAGCUGACUUAGAACUAUGUCGAUUCCUAAGAGAAGAGUGCAAAUAAAAUUGUAUCAAAAUUAAGGUUAGCUAUGUAUAUAUAAAUUUUAUUAUUUCAUUA